ensembl:lncRNA
GUGGUUUCAAUCCAGGGAGCGUAACCACUGAGCUAAAUCCCCAGCCCUUUGGGGGUUUUCUUAGAACAUCGGACUUUCCUGCAGCCUAGAGGCUUGCACUUCCAGAGAGCAGAAGCUGCCUGAGAAGUCAAGAAUUGCAACACUAUGCAAGAAAAAGGAAGCCGAGAGGAGAAUGGAGGAAGACAUGGAUGCUUUAAACACUCCCGAGUGACCGUAAUGCACGCCUCAGUCUCGGUGAGAGCCGCCCUACCUACUGGACCGGAAAUGUCAGCUUCAGCUUCGCCUCUGAGGCAAAUUCUCUGGCUGCUGCCACCUGCUGUGUCAGGAACUCUGGGAGGAGGGGCAGCUUGGAGUUUACCCAGUCCCCAGCCCAGCUACAGAAUAGCUCGUUUGGCCUCCGGUCACGGCUGGGACUUCGGUUAUCCGGUGAUGCUGUGAUUCUCCACAACAAGAAACAUCCUGGGAGAACAAACAUCUGCUCAGCUCCUCAUUGUUCUUGGACUGAUUAACAUCUUGUUUGCCAGAGAUGUACUGAACUCUCUGCAAGCCUUCCAUUACACCUUGUUUAUCCCAAUGUGAACUAUUGAACUCUCUGCAAGUCAUUUGUUACAUUUGUUUCUCCCGAUGUACUGAAUAAAAGGUGUGGUAAGCUGGGGGCUUUGUCUUUGCUGCCCAGAGCAGCACUGAUCAGAACCAAAGCUCAGCUUCUUCUCAGUCUCAUUUUUCUACCUUUCCUGUAAUUCGCCGUGUGCUGCCGUGGCUCACAGGAGACCAGGACUCACUGCAGAGGUUCUGGUAACGUCCCCUUCCCCUG